UACGGGGGGGGCAAGCGUUGUUCGGAAUUACUGGGCGUAAAGGGCUCGUAGGUGGCCAACUAAGUCAGACGUGAAAUCCCUCGGCUUAACCGGGGAACUGCGUCUGAUACUGGAUGGCUGGAGUUUGGGAGAGGGAUGCGGAAUUCCAGGUGUAGCGGUGAAAUGCGUAGAUAUCUGGAGGAACACCGGUGGCGAAGGCGGCUUCCUGGACCGACACUGACGCUGAGGCGCGAAAGCUAGGGGAGCAAACGGG
rnacentral:rRNA from 1 species